UAGAAUGAGUUGAUCUCAACUCAUUAGAAUUAGUUGAUCAAAUGCCACUCCUCUUGUGUUAGAAUCAACAUAACCUACCUGACUCUAAACCUAUGUGUGUAUAUAUCUACUUAUAUUUUGCUGAUGCUAUGUUGUCUGGAAAAUACUAAUAACAUUAUAAAGACCCAACUUCAUUGAACUCUUCCAGGGUGCCAGUUUCUCUGGUAAUAAAAGGAUCACAAAGCUCUGAUGAAUGAGCUGCUUGGACACUUUGAGAUAUUUUAAGAUUGUUCAGCAAGGAUAUAACAGUGAAAUAGACUCCAACAACUUGUGAAAUUUAAUGAAUCUAUUCAACUAGUGUCAGCCACGUCCAUAAAUAAUUUAAUAAGAAACCAUCAUCCAUGAAGAGGAAUGCAAGUUGAACAAUCAGAGAGGAACAGACCAGACCAAGGUCAACAUU